AUACGGAGGGUGCAAGCGUUAAUCGGAAUUACUGGGCGUAAAGAGUACGUAGGUGGUUUGUUAAGUCAGAUGUGAAAGCCCCGGGCUCAACCUGGGAACUGCAUUUGAAACUGGCAAACUAGAGUAUGGUAGAGGGGGGUAGAAUUUCUAGUGUAGCGGUGAAAUGCGUAGAUAUUAGAAGGAAUACCAGUGGCGAAGGCGGCCCCCUGGACCAAUACUGACACUGAGGUACGAAAGCGUGGGUAGCGAGCAGGAUUAGAAACCCUAGUAGUCC
rnacentral:rRNA from 1 species